GCGUGAGAAUCUAGCUUCAGGUCGGGGACAACCACUGGAAACGGUGGCUAAUACCGGAUGUGCCGAAAGGUGAAAGAUUUAUUGCCUAAAGAUGAGCUCGCGUCUGAUUAGCUAGUUGGUGUGGUAAGAGCGCACCAAGGCGACGAUCAGUAGCUGGUCUGAGAGGAUGAUCAGCCACACUGGGACUGAGACACGGCCCAGACUCCUACGGGAGGCAGCAGUGGGGAAUUUUCCGCAAUGGGCGAAAGCCUGACGGAGCAAUACCGCGUGAGGGAGGAAGGCUCUUGGGUUGUAAACCUCUUUUCUCAGGGAAUAAGAAAGUGAAGGUACCUGAGGAAUAAGCAUCGGCUAACUCCGUGCCAGCAGCCGCGGUAAUACGGAGGAUGCAAGCGUUAUCCGGAAUGAUUGGGCGUAAAGCGUCCGCAGGUGGCACUGUAAGUCUGCUGUUAAAGAGCAAGGCUCAACCUUGUAAAGGCAGUGGAAACUACAGAGCUAGAGUACGUUCGGGGCAGAGGGAAUUCCUGGUGUAGCGGUGAAAUGCGUAGAGAUCAGGAAGAACACCGGUGGCGAAAGCGCUCUGCUAGGCCGUAACUGACACUGAGGGACGAAAGCUAGGGGAGCGAAUGGGAUU
rnacentral:rRNA from 1 species